rnacentral:rRNA from 1 species
GACGAACGCUGGCGGCGUGCCUAAUACAUGCAAGUCGAGCGAAGUUUUUCUGGUGCUUGCACUAGAAAAACUUAGCGGCGAACGGGUGAGUAACACGUAAAGAACCUGCCUCACAGACUGGGACAACUAUUGGAAACGAUAGCUAAUACCGGAUAACAGUAUUUCUCGCAUGAGAGAUAUUUAAAAGUUGGUUAUGCUAACACUAUGAGAUGGCUUUGCGGUGCAUUAGCUAGUUGGUGGGGUAAAGGCCCACCAAGGCGACGAUGCAUAGCCGACCUGAGAGGGUGAUCGGCCACACUGGGACUGAGACACGGCCCAGACUCCUACGGGAGGCAGCAGUAGGGAAUCUUCCGCAAUGGGCGAAAGCCUGACGGAGCAACGCCGCGUGAGUGAAGAAGGAUUUCGGUUCGUAAAGCUCUGUUGUUAGGGAAGAAUGGAUAUGUAGUAACUAUACAUGUAAGAGACGGUACCUAACCAGAAAGCCACGGCUAACUACGUG